CUUCACUCAGGCUCCUCACGCUCCCACUCACUAACAGAGCUGCUGCUGCGUUUAGUAUCUGUUCAAUUGUUCAUGAAAAAUAGGAGAAAUGAUCUCUCAGAGAACUGGAGAAGAACGAUCGCUAGAGAAGAAGCACGACCAACCUUCACUCCUCGACACAGCAGGGAGAACUCCGCUACUCAUCUCUGCUCGUCAAUCACCUCUGGAAGUCUCAGAUCUCAUUUGUGAAGACUCAGAUCUCUACUCGUUUUCGCUCAAAUAGAUAAGGAGAAUUUAACAAUUUCUUCUUUCGUUAGCUUCUCUGCUGAUUCCUCAUUGAGUUGAAUUUAUACACUUUAAUGAGGUGGAUAAUUCCCAUUAGUUGAUGUUGAAGAAAGUUUCCAUUCAGAUCUGAAAUUUCAUCUAGAGAUUCUAGAAAAGGCAAAUUUUGUGCCCUGUUUCAGAAUUUUCUUUAGUUUUUUUUGAGAUUCAAUUGCUAACCCAAGGCAUUGCAAUAGUCUUGCAGAGUCAGUUUCAAUAUAUUUGCUUCUUGUGAUGUAGCAGAGCCAAAAAGUUAUAAUUUCUUCCAAUCUUUAGCCCAUAACA